GGGGAAUAUUGGACAAUGGGCGCAAGCCUGAUCCAGCCAUGCCGCGUGAGUGAUGACGGCCUUAGGGUUGUAAAGCUCUUUUACCUGGGAAGAUAAUGACGGUACCAGGAGAAUAAGCCCCGGCUAACUUCGUGCCAGCAGCCGCGGUAAUACGAAGGGGGCUAGCGUUGUUCGGAUUUACUGGGCGUAAAGCGCACGUAGGCGGAUCUUUAAGUCAGAGGUGAAAUCCCGGAGCUCAACUUCGGAACUGCCUUUGAUACUGGGGAUCUCGAGUUCGGGAGAGGUGAGUGGAACUGCGAGUGUAGAGGUGAAAUUCGUAGAUAUUCGCAAGAACACCAGUGGCGAAGGCGGCUCACUGGCCCGAUACUGACGCUGAGGUGCGAAAGCGUGGGGAGCAAAC
rnacentral:rRNA from 1 species